rnacentral:rRNA from 1 species
GUCCACACCGUAAACGUUGGGCGCUAGGUGUGGGGCCUAUUCCAUGGGUUCCGUGCCGCAGCUAACGCAUUAAGCGCCCCGCCUGGGGAGUACGGCCGCAAGGCUAAAACUCAAAGGAAUUGACGGGGGCCCGCACAAGCGGCGGAGCAUGCGGAUUAAUUCGAUGCAACGCGAAGAACCUUACCUGGGUUUGACAUACACCGGAAAGCCUCAGAGAUGGGGGCCCCUUUUGUCGGUGUACAGGUGGUGCAUGGCUGUCGU